rnacentral:rRNA from 1 species
CCUACGGGUGGCAGCAGUGAGGAAUAUUGGUCAAUGGCCGGAAGGCUGAACCAGCCAAGCCGCGUGAAGGACGAAGGUGCCAAGCAUUGUAAACUUCUUUUGUCAAGGGACAAAAUCAGGCUCGAGAGCCUGACCGAGGGUACUUGAAGAAAAAGCAUCGGCUAACUCCGUGCCAGCAGCCGCGGUAAUACGGAGGAUGCGAGCGUUAUCCGGAUUUAUUGGGUUUAAAGGGUGCGUAGGCGGACUGUUAAGUCAGCGGUAAAAGCCCGGGGCUCAAACCCGGCGGGCCGUGGAAACUGGCUGUCUUGAGAUGUCGAGAGGUAUGCGGAAUGCGCAGUGUAGCGGUGAAAUGCGUAGAUAUUGCGCAGAACUCCGAUUGCGAAGGCAGCAUACCGGCGGCGAUCUGACGCUGAGGCACGAAAGCGUGGGUAGCGAACAGGAUUAGAUACCCCAGUAGUC